rnacentral:rRNA from 1 species
CGCGUAGGUGGCCGAGCAAGGUCGCGGUGAAAGCCCGGGGCUCAACCCCGGGUCGGCCGUGGCAACUACUCGGCUUGAGCACUGUAGGGGCGGGUGGAAUUCCGGGUGUAGCGGUGGAAUGCGUAGAGAUCCGGAAGAACACCAGUGGCGAAGGCGGCCCGCUGGGCAGGAAGGUGGAGCAAUCCACCGGCUGACACUGAGGCGCGACAGCGUGGGGAGCAAACA